rnacentral:rRNA from 1 species
UACAUAGGGUGCAAGCGUUGUCCGGAAUUAUUGGGCGUAAAGAGCUCGUAGGUGGUUCGUUACGUCGGAUGUGAAAAUCUGGGGCUCAACCCCAGACCUGCAUUCGAUACGGGCGAACUAGAGUGUGGUAGGGGAGACUGGAAUUCCUGGUGUAGCGGUGGAAUGCGCAGAUAUCAGGAGGAACACCAAUGGCGAAGGCAGAUCUCUGGGCCGUAACUGACGCUGAGGAGCGAAAGCAUGGGGAGCGAACAGG